ensembl:lncRNA
CUUGGUAAUGAGACUUUCUGUGUUCAAUCUACAAUUCAGACUGUCCAGACUCAUUCUCGUCUCACUGAUGUUCACUGAUGUUUGUCUGCAAUCAUCUAACAAUGUUUUCAGCUCUUUCAGUCCACUGUCCAAGAAGCCACUGUCCACUGUAACAUGAUCCCAUCUAUCUAAAAGUUUAUACUUCCCCCUGCCAGAGUAGAAAUCUACAGUGUGCUUUGUGUAGUACCAUCACUGAAGAGGUGCCCGGAUUCCAUUCAGUUCACUUUUAUUCAUAUAGCACCAAUUCAUUUACCAAGAUCGGCUGAAUCAGCACCCACAGCAUCACCUUAGCAACCACAUUCCUCCACCUAUCAGCUGUGAGUUCACAUAUUUGACAAACAAAUACCACAAAAACAAAGUGACAGCUGACUCUGAGCCCUCACAGUCAGCUGAUCUUUCUGUCGAAUAACUUAAUGAAACCCUGAAAUACAAUAAAUGUUUUCAGGUCCUUGAAGUACACACGGGUGGAGGCUGGAAACCCACUCCACCUGUCACAGUCUGAAGACAGAAUGUGGUUUCUGUUCAGUGUGUGAGGAUCAGUAUGAUGUAUAAUAAUGUGAGUAAACUUCAGCAGGUUCAUGUCUGUGAUGUAGAGAACAGGAACAAGCAGAGGUGCCCUGGAUGUUUGAUCUGUGCUCUGAUAAUUCAGCGUAUCACCAUGUGGGACAGGAGACUGUCCAGUACAAGUUACAGCCUGUCAGAGUGUCGCUCACAUUUACUGACAAACAACAGAUGCAUCUGUUACUGAACUAAAUGAUGAAACCAGCCAACAGUAAAUCAGGUGCUUCACACUAACUCCACAUGACAUUCAUCUGUAACCAGCUGAACCAGUUAGUGGUAACAGUAACUGGUUAUCCCACUAACGCUCACAGAUUUCAGUCAACCUGUCAGAUUAACUAAAAGACUGAAAGAUGUCAUUUUAAACUGUUACUGUUGUUCUGAAGGAUCCCUGACACAGUCGUCUGAUCAUCAGGAUGGAGAAAUUAUCAACUUGAAGCAACAAACCCUCGACGCCCCUGUGUGAUAUCAUAGCAACAUUUUAGAAACCACAUUCCUGUCUUCUGUAGCUUCAUACAUACAUAUUUCCAAUCCAACUUUAUUUGUAGAUUACUUUAAAAACAAAAUGGUUCACCAAAGUGCUUUCUAGAGUAUUUGACAACAAAUAAAUUUACAAAGUAACAGAAAGUCAACACGUUUGAGUUAAACAGAUAGAUAUGUAGAGACAAUCUCUCAACACACUCUGUUUAGUGGGAAG